AUGUUCUUGUGCAAACACUGUGGCGUCUCUGUGGAGACAUUAUACGCCUUUAUUAAUCAUGCCAAAGGGCAUAAAAACACGGCGAACUUCAGGUUUUCGUGUGCAGUUCCCGAAUGCCCAUGCACUUUCCAAAGCCUCUCCGCCCUUCAGUCUCACAUUUACCGCAAACACAGAAAGUCCGCCAAAAAUCCGAACAGAUCAGAACAGCAAGAUCUGAAUUCUAGAUGCAGUGUUGAAGGCUGUGCGUUCGUGUCGACCAAAUUCGCCAGUCUUUGUGAACAUCUAAAAUGGCAUAUUCGAGAUGGCAAAAAAAUUGAAUGUCCAAUUACUGGCUGUAAAAAAUAUUUUCGAGUGAAGUCGUCAUUUUCAGCACACCUCAGUAGAAAACAUAAAAACGAUUUAGAGAAAUCUGUUUGUGCAGAUAUCACUGAGAUUUCUGUUGCUGUGCCAGAUGUUGUGAAUACUGAAGACUUUGAUGAUGUGGAAUUUCAAGAGAGUAGUGUAGCCAUUCAGCUCGACAAAGACAAAUUUCUGACAAAUUUGGCUUUAUUUUAUUUGAGGAUGCAGUCAAAAAUGAUUCUGCCAGCUACAACAAUUCAGAUUUUAAUUGAUGAGUUCAUGGAGGUGCAUACAAAUAGCAUGAUGCAUACCUUGUCCAAAGUUAAUGAAGAAUUGACAAAGCUAAAAAUUCCAGACUGUCAAAUAAGUGAAAUAAUAAGUGGCUUAUCUAAAGAAAACUUACUUAAGAUGUAUAAUGAGGGAUAUUUUAAGUCAGAUCAGACUCGGAAGUCCUUUUUCAAAAAACAUUUCAAUUAUGUGGAGCCUGUGCAGGUGUACCUAGGCUGUGAUGCAUCAGGGAAAGAGCGCUUUUGUCAGUACAUACCAGUAAAAGACACUCUGAAGGCAUUUUUGAACAAUGGAUCUGUUAAAGAGCAGUAUUAUAAGGCCAAGGAACAAACAACACAAAAUCCCCAUGUACUUGAGGAUAUAAGGGAUGGGAGAAAUUUUAAAGAAAACACUCUUUUUAAAGAGUCUUCAUCAGUAGUGUCUCUAAUUUUAUAUCAAGAUGCAUUCGAGGUAGUUAAUCCGCUUGGCUCUGGAAGAAAAAAACACAAA
rnacentral:lncRNA from 1 species